rnacentral:rRNA from 1 species
ACGGGUGAGUAACGCGUGGGUAACCUGCCUCAUACAGGGGGAUAACAGUUGGAAACGGCUGCUAAUACCGCAUAAGCGCACAGUACCGCAUGGUACCGUGUGAAAAACUCCGGUGGUAUGAGAUGGACCCGCGUCUGAUUAGGUAGUUGGUGGGGUAACGGCCUACCAAGCCGACGAUCAGUAGCCGACCUGAGAGGGUGACCGGCCACAUUGGGACUGAGACACGGCCCAAACUCCUACGGGAGGCAGCAUG